CCGAGACAGGUGCACCCGCCCGGCCUGCGCGGGGCAGGAGUCCCGAGUGAGGCCCCACGGGCUCCCGCUAGCCGGGCGCGGGAGCUCGCGGUGCAGCACCGCACACACCCGGGGCGGGAGACGGUCCUGACCGCCCUGGCGACCGGCUGGCGUCGUUUCGGCCGCGCGACUCGGCCACCCGCAAGCUGCUGACAAUACCCUUUCUCGUGGCCCUUCGCUGAGUGCCGAGGCAUGAACCCAAGUCCAUUCCCGAGCUCGCCCAUUGACAAGUCCUUGAAAGAGGCAGUGACCUUCCCCAGGGACUUAAGUGCCUGGCUGUGGACACUUCGCUAAGGGCAAAAGGCAAUCUUAGCCCAACCACCAGGAUCCUGUGAAAAAUCCCAGAUGUCCUUCAUGUUCAAAUGAGUCUUCACAGUUGCCAUUUGCCGGAAGACAGCAAUGCGAUCGUUGCAUUCAGUAGGCAACCACCUAUGAGGUAGCUCAUGUGAAUUAUUAAUGAUAAAUUCUUUGGGGUGGGGGAAACUUCUUGGACUUUCUUUGCUGUACUUUUAGCAAUUGACUGAGACGCCCAUCAGAUGUCUUCUCGUGAGCUGUCACAUUAUUUAAAUGAGGACACAGGCUGACAUUUCCAGAGGAGCGAGCUCAGUACGUACCAAAAAGGGAAGGGGCUCUCUGCUUUGAUGGGCACCUCGUAGGCUUUUCAAAAUAAAGGUUUGGAGUGCUUUAAUUGUGGAGCGACUUGCCACAUAGUUCAGCCCAGAGUUAAAAGAUUCUCAGAUACUUUGAAGAACAGCCAAGAAGUUUUGUGCUUCGCUACAAACAGGAGAACACUCAUUAAGUGACACUUGAAAGGCACUGAUGGAAGGUAACGGCUGCUCAGAAUAAACCUAGGAACGCUUGGCUCCUCAUUGUUCUUUACAUAUCUCAUUAUUCCAGGUAUUGUCAUGUAAAAAAGAGAAAAAAAAAAAAGUUGCCUGUGUGACGUCUGUUGUUCCUCCAAAAAAGAAAGUCCAAGGCCAGAGGUGAAACCUACCAGGGCGAGGGAGGCCUGGACAUCCUUCCCGAGAGCACAGAGACGUCAUGACCUCUGGCAGCAGGCAUUUUCACAAAAAGCCCACUUACUUGUGGCAGGCUUGCCCACCACAGGUCCCGUUGUAGCUCCGGCUGUGCCUCGGACGCUUAUUGCUACGUAUCUGAGUGCAAUCCGCGAGGCCAGCCGCUGUGCUAACUGAUUUGACGGAAGAAAGGGGCGUGGGAAGGCAGUAGAACAACCAGAAGAAUCCUGACUAUCUCAGUCCAUUGUCCUAGCGGCCUGUUCCAGUGGCUAACCCCAGGGUCGAUAUCAGUCCUUGGAAGCUCCAAGGGUAAUCCCUUCAAAGUCAGCUUCUCUUUGGGGAGUUAAAUGUGGUCGCAGCCUUGAGCCACUCUUGUUCCGACCUCAGGGCCUUUGCGCCUGUUCUCCCUCGAGCCUGGAGCACCCUGUGUGGUUUGUGCAUGGCCAGGCCUUCGUCUCCAUCAGGGCUCAGCACUUCCUGGCACCCACCAACACACUGCCCCCUAAUUGUGUUUCCUUCCUGGCUCUGAUAAUGAUGUGACAUUUGUGUCUUCAUUUGUCUACCUGUUACAUCGUGUUACAUUGCAGAAUUGAAACCCUGUUCUGAGCUCAUCUCUUUGAAAACACAGCGCGGUGGCACGGUGCUGUGAGUCACCUCGGGCUUGAAAGCAUGAAGCAAAAGCAUACUUUAUAUUAGUGAUUCAUUUGUGUUUCUGAAAUUAAACAAUAAUUUCCCUUA